rnacentral:rRNA from 1 species
ACGAACGCUGGCGGCGUGCUUAACACAUGCAAGUCGAACGGAAAGGCCCUGCUUGCAGGGUACUCGAGUGGCGAACGGGUGAGUAACACGUGGGUGAUCUGCCCUGCACUUCGGGAUAAGCCUGGGAAACUGGGUCUAAUACCGGAUAGGAGCCAUUUUUAGUGUGAUGGUUGGAAAGUUUUUUCGGUGUAGGAUGAGCUCGCGGCCUAUCAGCUUGUUGGUGGGGUAAUGGCCUACCAAGGCGGCGACGGGUAGCCGGCCUGAGAGGGUGGACGGCCACAUUGGGACUGAGACACGGCCCAGACUCCUACGGGAGGCAGCAGUGGGGAAUAUUGCACAAUGGGCGCAAGCCUGAUGCAGCGACGCCGCGUGGGGGAUGACGGCCUUCGGGUUGUAAACUCCUUUCGCUAGGGACGAAGCUUUUUGUGACGGUACCUAGAUAAGAAGCACCGGCUAACUACGUG